GGUUAAGCGACUAAGCGUACACGGUGGAUGCCCUGGCAGUCAGAGGCGAUGAAGGACGUGCUAAUCUGCGAAAAGCGCCGGCGAGGUGAUAUGAACCCUUGACCCGGCGAUGUCCGAAUGGGGAAACCCAGUGUGUUUCGACACACUAUCGUUAACUGAAUACAUAGGUUAACGAGGCGAACCGGGGGAACUGAAACAUCUAAGUACCCCGAGGAAAAGAAAUCAACCGAGAUUCCCCCAGUAGCGGCGAGCGAACGGGGAGCAGCCCGGAGUCUGAAUCAGCUUGUGUGUUAGUGGAACGGUCUGGAAAGUCCGACGGUACAGGGUGAUAGUCCCGUACACGAAAGCACACUUGCUGUGAACUCGAAGAGUAGGGCGGGACACGUGGUAUCCUGUCUGAAUAUGGGGGGACCAUCCUCCAAGGCUAAAUACUCCUGACUGACCGAUAGUGAACCAGUACCGUGAGGGAAAGGCGAAAAGAACCCCGGCGAGGGGAGUGAAAAAGAACCUGAAACCGUGUACGUACAAGCAGUGGGAGCACCUUCGGGUGUGACUGCGUACCUUUUGUAUAAUGGGUCAGCGACUUAUAUUCUGUAGCAAGGUUAACCGUAUAGGGGAGCCGAAGGGAAACCGAGUCUUAACUGGGCGUUAAGUUGCAGGGUAUAGACCCGAAACCCGGUGAUCUAGCCAUGGGCAGGUUGAAGGUUGGGUAACACUAACUGGAGGACCGAACCGACUAAUGUUGAAAAAUUAGCGGAUGACCUGUGGCUGGGGGUGAAAGGCCAAUCAAACCGGGAGAUAGCUGGUUCUCCCCGAAAGCUAUUUAGGUAGCGCCUCGUGAACUCAUCUUCGGGGGUAGAGCACUGUUUCGGCUAGGGGGCCAUCCCGGCUUACCAACCCGAUGCAAACUACGAAUACCGAAGAAUGUUAUCACGGGAGACACACGGCGGGUGCUAACGUCCGUCGUGAAGAGGGAAACAACCCAGACCGCCAGCUAAGGUCCCAAAGUCAUGGUUAAGUGGGAAACGAUGUGGGAAGGCACAGACAGCCAGGAUGUUGGCUUAGAAGCAGCCAUCAUUUAAAGAAAGCGUAAUAGCUCACUGGUCGAGUCGGCCUGCGCGGAAGAUGUAACGGGGCUAAACCAUGCACCGAAGCUGCGGCAGCGACACUAUGUGUUGUUGGGUAGGGGAGCGUUCUGUAAGCCGUUGAAGGUGUGCUGUGAGGCAUGCUGGAGGUAUCAGAAGUGCGAAUGCUGACAUAAGUAACGAUAAAGCGGGUGAAAAGCCCGCUCGCCGGAAGACCAAGGGUUCCUGUCCAACGUUAAUCGGGGCAGGGUGAGUCGACCCCUAAGGCGAGGCCGAAAGGCGUAGUCGAUGGGAAACAGGUUAAUAUUCCUGUACUUGGUGUUACUGCGAAGGGGGGACGGAGAAGGCUAUGUCAGCCGGGCGACGGUUGUCCCGGUUUAAGCAUGUAGGCGGAGGUUCCAGGUAAAUCCGGUACCUUUUAACGCUGAGGUGUGAUGACGAGGCACUACGGUGCUGAAGUGAUAAAUGCCCUGCUUCCAGGAAAAGCCUCUAAGCAUCAGGUAACACGAAAUCGUACCCCAAACCGACACAGGUGGUCAGGUAGAGAAUACCAAGGCGCUUGAGAGAACUCGGGUGAAGGAACUAGGCAAAAUGGUGCCGUAACUUCGGGAGAAGGCACGCUGAUAUGUAGGUGAAGCCCCUGCGGGCGGAGCUGAAAUCAGUCGAAGAUACCAGCUGGCUGCAACUGUUUAUUAAAAACACAGCACUGUGCAAACACGAAAGUGGACGUAUACGGUGUGACGCCUGCCCGGUGCCGGAAGGUUAAUUGAUGGGGUUAGCGGCAACGCGAAGCUCUUGAUCGAAGCCCCGGUAAACGGCGGCCGUAACUAUAACGGUCCUAAGGUAGCGAAAUUCCUUGUCGGGUAAGUUCCGACCUGCACGAAUGGCGUAAUGAUGGCCAGGCUGUCUCCACCCGAGACUCAGUGAAAUUGAACUCGCUGUGAAGAUGCAGUGUACCCGCGGCAAGACGGAAAGACCCCGUGAACCUUUACUAUAGCUUGACACUGAACACUGGUCCUUGAUGUGUAGGAUAGGUGGGAGGCUUUGAAGCGUGGACGCCAGUCUGCGUGGAGCCGUCCUUGAAAUACCACCCUUUAAUGGCUGGUGUUCUAACGUAGACCCGUGAUCCGGGUUGCGGACAGUGUCUGGUGGGUAGUUUGACUGGGGCGGUCUCCUCCCAAAGAGUAACGGAGGAGCACGAAGGUUGGCUAAUCCUGGUCGGACAUCAGGAGGUUAGUGCAAUGGCAUAAGCCAGCUUGACUGCGAGCGUGACGGCGCGAGCAGGUGCGAAAGCAGGUCAUAGUGAUCCGGUGGUUCUGAAUGGAAGGGCCAUCGCUCAACGGAUAAAAGGUACUCCGGGGAUAACAGGCUGAUACCGCCCAAGAGUUCAUAUCGACGGCGGUGUUUGGCACCUCGAUGUCGGCUCAUCACAUCCUGGGGCUGAAGUAGGUCCCAAGGGUAUGGCUGUUCGCCAUUUAAAGUGGUACGCGAGCUGGGUUUAGAACGUCGUGAGACAGUUCGGUCCCUAUCUGCCGUGGGCGCUGGAGAAUUGAGGGGGGCUGCUCCUAGUACGAGAGGACCGGAGUGGACGCAUCACUGGUGUUCGGGUUGUCAUGCCAAUGGCACUGCCCGGUAGCUAAAUGCGGAAGAGAUAAGUGCUGAAAGCAUCUAAGCACGAAACUUGCCCCGAGAUGAGUUCUCCCUGAGACUUUAAGUCUCCUGAAGGAACGUUGAAGACGACGACGUUGAUAGGUCGGGUGUGUAAGCGCAGCGAUGCGUUGAGCUAACCGAUACUAAUGAACCGUGAGGCUUAACCUU
rnacentral:rRNA from 1 species